UUUCCGUAGGUGAACCUGCGGAAGGAUCAUUACUGAGUUAGGGUCUUUAUGGCCCGACCUCCAACCCUUUGUUUAAUUUACCAUGUUGCUUUGGCAGGCCCGCUUAGAAAUGGGCCGCCGGAGACCUUUGAGUCUCUGGUCAGUGCCUGCCAGUAGCCUUUCUAAAUUCAUUUAUAACCGUGUCUGAAUAUACAAAGAAAAAUUAAAAUAAAACUUUCAACAACGGAUCUCUUGGUUCUG
rnacentral:misc_RNA from 1 species